UACAGAGGGGGCUAGCGUUGUUCGGAAUUACUGGGCGUAAAGGGCGCGUAGGCGGUUUGUCAAGUCAGGCGUGAAAGCCCCGGGCUCAACCUGGGAACUGCGCUUGAGACUGGCAGGCUCGAGUUCGGGAGAGGAUGGUGGAAUUCCCAGUGUAGAGGUGAAAUUCGUAGAUAUUGGGAAGAACACCGAUGGCGAAGGCAGCCAUCUGGACCGACACUGACGCUGAGGCGCGAAAGCGUGGGGAGCAAACAGG
rnacentral:rRNA from 1 species